UCUGUUAUUUAUUAUUUUAUUUUAAUAUAAAAUUAGGGAAAAAGAGAAACCAGGAAGGGGAAUCAGGAUAACGUCUUUCACGAGAAUUUAAUCUCAAGGACGGUUUUUUUUCUUUUUUUUUUGCGGAAAUCAUUCCCACGGAGAAUUACGGACGCCAAAUUAUUUUUUCUGGGAAUCAAUGCCGAAACCGAGCUAACAAUAAAAAAGAGGAAAUUUUUCUUUGGUUUGAUAGAGUUUGAUUUGGAGAAGUCUGAUCUGGGAGAGGAUUCUAUUCUUUGUGUUUGUCUUGUGUCCGAUCUAUAUCUUUAUAAGUAGCCAGACAAAAAAAAAACUCCAGACCAAAAAAAUAGUAGAAAUUUUGCCUCUUUAUGAUUAGGUAUAAAUAUAGAUUAUUAAGAUUAUCGAGGUAGCAACCCCGGAUAGUAAUUCGGGGUAGCAACCAAUUAAGGUCAUGAGAUAACAAUCCCAAUUAAGAACACAUGAUAAUCCUGCCAAACAUGAGGUAGCCACCUCAACCAAGUAUCCUUCUUCAAGUUCCAUGUGAGUCCAAUUUCUCACUGUGUGACUGAUAUAUUAGUUUGAUUAAACUAUGUAGAGGUUGUACACUUUCACUUCAAGUUAUGAUUCUCAUUUACCUAGGGUCAUGACUCUUCCAAAACACUACCAAGGUGAGCAGACAGGGCUUCACUAUGAGACUAUGAGACUUUUCACAGGUUCUAGCUAAAAGAGUGCAACUCGUGAGUUUUAGCCGGUGAGCGCCACAGCCGUGCCCAUAGCAAUGGAACUCCAAACUAAACAACCUGUUAACAUGAAUACCCAAGCUACUUCCAUACGCCUACCUAGAAAGUUACACCCUACUAGUAGAGGUCCUGAUACUACGUCAAGCUAGAGCCAUAUCGUUUGAAGGUGUACUAUAUAUUCCAGGUGGUAAUAGAUGAGUAGAGCAUCUACGCAUAUCUACUGUGCACUAUACUAGGCAUGUAUAAACCCAAGAGUACAAGGAAUAUAGAAAAGGGCUAGUCGGGUCCUUAGGGUUGCAGUAUUAAGACACAUGCAUUGCAAAGUAAAUGUGAUUAAAUUUUAUAGGUACAAUAUGAUCAAAGGGUGCCUGCACUUGCCUUUAGUCCCAGUGUACAACUGCUCAAAAUUCUUUGGCUUCUAUCUUCUGAUCUCCGUCUUGUCACACCC
rnacentral:lncRNA from 1 species